rnacentral:rRNA from 1 species
GGAUUAGAUACCCUGGUAGUCCACGCAGUAAACGAUGAUCACUAGAUAUUUGCGAUAUACGGUAAGUGUCUUAGGGAAACCGAUAAGUGAUCCACCUGGGGAGUACGGUCGCAAGAUUGAAACUCAAAGGAAUUGACGGGGGCCCGCACAAGCGGUGGAGCAUGUGGUUUAAUUCGAUGAUACGCGAGGAACCUUACCAGGGCUUAAAUGUAGAUUGACGGAUUGUGAAAGCAGUCUUUCUUCGGACAAUUUACAAGGUGCUGCAUGGUUGUCGUCAGCUCGUGCUG